rnacentral:rRNA from 1 species
UACGGAGGAUGCAAGCGUUAUCCGGAAUGAUUGGGCGUAAAGCGUCCGCAGGUGGCUGUGUAAGUCUGCUGUUAAAGAGUCAUGCUCAACAUGAUAAGAGCAGUGGAAACUACACGGCUAGAGUGCGUUCGGGGCAGAGGGAAUUCCUGGUGUAGCGGUGAAAUGCGCAGAUAUCAGGAGGAACACCGGUGGCGAAGGCGGGUCUCUGGGCCGAUACUGACGCUGAGGAGCGAAAGCGUGGGGAGCGAACAGG